GGGGGCAUAGCUCAGUUGGUUAGAGCAUCUGACUCUUAAUCAGAGGGUCGAAUCCCUAUGCCCCCA
rnacentral:tRNA from 1 species